GAUUAUUCUAAUGGCUGUAAAAUCUAAAUACCACUAAGCUAGUAAAUAUGCCAAGUUGCAAUAGCCUAUAAUAGACAAUACAAAGGGAUUCCCUGCUCUUUGUCUCUGUCCAGUGAAGAGGACAAAAAAGUUUAAAGAUGGGGAUCAUGAAGACUGAAAACUUUUUGGGAAGGAAUGAAAAUGAAAUGUUAAAUGAACAAAGUACAAACAGAUAUCUUAUUUGUGUGGAUGCAGUGAACUUCAUUUUCCCUGUUCAGUGGCAGCAAUAAGCUAAAGUGCUCUCUUUAUAAUAUCCUUAAAAUUCAGACGAAUCAGAUGAGUGAAAUGCAGGAAGAGUGAGAAUGACCGGGUUAAUUUAAGUUAUUGAGCGUAAUGCUCUUUAGAGCCCUGCGGCACAGGGGCACCGGGGCCAGCCUUCGGUGCUGACUGCGGAGUGAAGCCGCGGAGAUGCCGCUGCCGCCGCCGCCGGUCCCUUCUUCAAGUUCGUUUCCAAGGAGGAGAGACGCGUCGCGCCAGGACUCCGCCCCCUUCUCCUGAAUGCGCGAGCAGCUGCUUUCAAACCCAACUGCUCAAUUCCAUUCAUCCUCGAGAGGGAACAAAAAAGUGGCUAUUUAUUAGAAUACUUGUUUUGUAUUGUUCCGCGUCACACAAAAGGGGCUUUAUUAUGUAAGAAGGAACCCUUUCGCCGGGAGAAACAAUAACUUGAAAUUGUCUUUAGAGUCUAUAAUAAAUUUCAUUUUCUUGUCUCUCUCCUCAGUGUGUAGUGAGUGGUGGGACUGGGAGCUGGGUAUCUCUGGCCUUGGCACACUAAGUGUAGAUUUUAGCAGGGAUGGCGGUCUGGCGAGUGGCUUUGGCUGGUUUAGGACAGCGAUAGAACCGAGAGGUCUGUGUAAGGAUGAUUGUGAGAGACUCUGCUGGAAUUUGGCAGGCCCGCUGCUUGGAGAGGCGCCCCACGCUGUGACUCCCAUUCAGCGGUCCAGCGCGCUGUGAGGUUGGGAAGUUUCACUGAGCCGUGCACUCAAUGGCUCCACAAAGCUGAUUACAAGCCCCAGCGAAUUCCUGAAGGGACCGGGCAGCCACGCAGGUGUGCGGGAAACCGGGGCAACCCUUCAGAGUUAUAGUGACAAGCCGGGAGACCACACAAAAAGCAAAGAGUCCCGGGAAGCGGCCAGGGAUUUGGUGGGAAAAAACACCUUAAAUGUCCUCUCCCUUGUGAGCGAAAAAAGAGGAGAAACUUUCCGAAGUCCCCCAUUAAACUGAUGCCCAGUCUCCUCAGGACAGCGGCUGUGCUGUUAAAAUCAGACACAUAUUUCUGUUUAUUUUUGGCAUAUGCAUUCUGAACAGUCUGGUGUGUAUAGUACCAUGCACGUAAAGAUGGGGGUCGGGUUUAACUACGAUUCAUAAAACGUAAAGAUCUGCUUUGCCUUACCGUGCCCAAUUCUUUCUCCCUGGUGCGAAAAAAAUCUACAUCAAUGAAGCAGACAGCGUAUUUAAUUAGAGCGGAGUCUAACUAUCAAUUACUCAGGAAAAACACAGGAUCCCCAAGGACCGGUAAUCAGCGCGCCAACAGUCGGCCGCGCGCUCAUUACAGCCAAGCGACGGGCGGGAAUAAUAAUCAGGGCGCGGCGACGCAUCUGCCUACAGUAUUUCCAUCGCUUCCUGUUGCCUCUCAGAACUUGAAUAACUCGACAUUUUUACUCAGUUUACCCAGCGGUAGCUCUGUUGUGGACGGCUUAGUAAAAAAGGCCCACUGUCUUUUCUCUUGUAACCUUAUUGUAAGAAGCUUACAGCAUCAUAACAUAAACGGUCUUUUUGUGAUAUUUCAUAUUGCAUGUUUUUAUCAAAAUCAUAAACUCUGAUUUACUACG